rnacentral:rRNA from 1 species
CCUACGGGAGGCAGCAGUCGAGAAUCAUUCACAAUGGGGGAAACCCUGAUGCUGCGACGCCGCGUGGGGGAAUGAAGGUCUUCGGAUUGUAAACCCCUGUCAUGUGGGAGCAAAUUAAAAAGAUAGUACCACAAGAGGAAGAGACGGCUAACUCUGUGCCGGCAGCCGCGGUAAUACGGAGGUCUCAAGCGUUGGUCGGAAUCACUGGGCGUAAAGCGUGCGUAGGCUGUUUCGUAAGUCGUGUGUGAAAGGCGCGGGCUCAACCCGCGGACGGCACAUGAUACUGCGAGACUGGAGGAAUGGAGGGGGAACCGGAAUGCUUGGUGUAGCAGUGAAAUGCGUAGAUAUCGGGAGGAACACUCGUGGCGAAGGCGGGUUCCUGGACAUUAACUGACGCUGAGGAGCGAAGGCGAGGGGAGCGAAAGGGAUUAGAUACCCUUGUAGUC